GGGGUACUGGGGAAAUGGCAAGGCGCUUGGCUACGAUCGACCAAAGAUCUGAGAUCAAGAGAUUGCAGGUUCGAUCCCUGCGUAGGUCA